UAGUAACUGCGAGUGAAGCGGGAAGAGCUCAAAUUUAAAAUCUGACAGCCUUUGGUUGUCCGAGUUGUAAUCUAGAGAAGUGUUAUCCGCGCUGGACCGUGUACAAGUCUCCUGGAAUGGAACAUCAUAGAGGGUGAGAAUCCCGUCUUUGACACGGACUUCCAGGGCUUUUGUGAUACGCUCUCAAAGAGUCGAGUUGUUUGGGAAUGCAGCUCUAAAUGGGUGGUAAAUUCCAUCUAAAGCUAAAUAUUGGCGAGAGACCGAUAGCGAACAAGUACCGUGAGGGAAAGAUGAAAAGAACUUUGGAAAGAGAGUUAAACAGUACGUGAAAUUGUUGAAAGGGAAACGCUUGAAGUCAGUCGCAUUGACUAGGGAUCAACCUUGCUUUCUUGCUUGGUGUACUUCCUAGUUGAUGGGCCAGCAUCAAUUUUGACCAGUGGAUAAAGGUCAAAGGAAUGUGGCAUCUCUGGAUGUGUUAUAGCCUUUGAUUGUAUACAUUGGUUGGGAUUGAGGAACUCAGCACGCCGCAAGGCCGGGUUUCGACCACGAUCGUGCUUAGGAUGCUGGCAUAAUGGCUUUAAUCGACCCGUCUUGAAACACGGACCAAGGAGUCUAACAUGCCUGCGAGUAUUUGGGUGGCAAACCCAUGUGCGUAAUGAAAGUGAAGAUCAGGAUCUCUGUCAUGGAGAGCACUGAUGCCCGGACCAGACCUUUUGUGACGGAUCUGCGGUAGAGCAUGCAU
rnacentral:rRNA from 1 species